GUUCCUACGGGGGGCAGCAGUGGGGAAUAUUGGGCAAUGGGCGCAAGCCUGACCCAGCAACGCCGCGUGAAGGAAGAAGGCUUUCGGGUUGUAAACUUCUUUUCUCAGGGACGGAGCAAGUGACGGUACCUGAGGAAUAAGCCACGGCUAACUACGUGCCAGCAGCCGCGGUAAUACGUAGGUGGCAAGCGUUAUCCGGAUUUACUGGGUGUAAAGCGAGUGCAGGCGGUUCAAUAAGUCUGAUGUGAAAGCCUU
rnacentral:rRNA from 1 species